AGGCAGCCACUUUGCAGUAUAUAUUAGGCAAAGCAGGUGUUGGAAUGCUCGUAUAUUGAAUUUACUUGGGCUUCUCAGACUUUCUGAGAGAUUGAUUUCCUUGAAGCUGGUAUAGUAAGCCCAAAUACAUC